rnacentral:lncRNA from 7 species
AUCCCACCCCAUCCACACACAUUCAAGGGCAAUGUAGAAGUAAAGUAGUGUUGAAGUAUAGGAGCCCUUGCAUAAAUAUAUGUGUUCUUGUUGUAAGUAUUUUGUUAUGCUAUAAAAUUUCUAUUUGCUUAGUGCAUAAGUUGUGAUUCAUCUGAAGGAGUGCUCUGCCUACUGGGAUCACAAGGCUUCAUCUAUAGGAGUUCUCUGCCUCCCGGAAGCCAACUUCAUCUGUAUGAGUGCUCUGCCUCCCGAAAGCAAAUAUGGCUAGCUCUAUCGCCUAUCGUGCAAUAAGUAAUUAGAGAUUAAAUACAAACUAGUGUAAUAUAUUGAUGUAUGUUAUUUUAAUUGUUGUCUAUCCACCGGCGAUGUCCCAUAAGUAGAACCCGGAGUCAUACAUAGUUUGUGUUAUUAUUGUAUGACUCCAUAAGUAGUCACCAUGUGAAAUACAUUACACAUGUAUGACUGUGGCACCACUUAUGUAAUGUAUUUAACUAGAG